UUCACCAUUAAUUUUUUGCGUCUGGGAUUUUAGAACUCCUUCAUAUAAGGUCUGUGUUUCGUGUGUACCCUGCUGUGAAGUUUUGAUAUCCGUGCAAAUCUCUCGGGGACAAGUGAACUAGCUUUGAUCAGCAGCAAGGAUGCUACUGUAUGUACCGGAUUGCAACCAUUACUCCGAUAAGCACAUGUGUAUUUUAUCAUUUUCGGAUGUCUGUAGUCGAGAGGCAUCGCUGGAUCCGUGUGAUAAGUCCAACAGGAGUGCAUCCCUCAGACCGUCUGGUGCCUGGACAUCCUGUACCCGUGUGAUCAGAGCACGAGUGUCCAGUUUUUGGAGACUACAGCACAUCGAGCAUGUGGACGGACAGACAUGAGGCGUGGCAUGCGGAACAUCAGAUCAACGCCACUCUCAGCAAGGAGAUCUGCUGGAAGUGAUGUCUCUCCUGCAUUUACCAGAAAAAUGAAUCUCCACACAACAAAGGGGGUCAGAAAUUAUUUAAACAUCACAGAUAUAAAUUCCCACUGUGCCCAUGAUAAAAUGCAAUGUGAAUUGUGUUUUACUACUGAAUGAAACUGUGAGGAGAUGCACAGACCAGCCUUUGUGAUUGAACUUACGUUGACAACAUUACUUUAGUUGGCUGCUUUGAGCAAAACCCGUAUGUAAUAUAACCUAUUCUGGGAGCCUAGUGUGUGUGUAUGAACUAUGUGGAAUAUUUCUGGACCAUUGGCUUCCCUGAAAACGGGCAGUGACAGGAGGAGCAAUAGGAGUCUGUCAGAGGUCAGAGGUCGUCACACCGGAUGGGGAUGGCGAUGGAGGCUUUGAACCAAGAAGAAGAAUGAAGAAGCAGAUGUUCCUUCCAGUGAUGUGGAGCUGCACUUAGACAUGGUGCCAGUAAGGAUGGUCUUCACGGAGGCUGUAAGACCCUCCCUCCUUGAUAUAUAAAUCCUUCAACUUCACUGCCUCUUCAUUGGUAAGGUCCCUUGCGCCAUUGGGACACUUGACCUCCACCGCUGCUGUGGUGCCACCAGACCAUGACCCCGUGACCCAAAGCCCUGCACAGCCAUCCCUGUAGCCAUGUUGAAUGCCUUGAUGACCUCCUCUUCGCUCUCUUUACAGACACCAUUGUACAUAGACAAUAUUAUACUGAUAUGUAAGCUAUGUGUGACGCUUUAAACGUAUGUAAAAGUAUGUAAAAAAUACAAAAAAUGUAUGCACUCACUAACUGUAAGUGGCUCUGGAUAAGAGCGUCUG